rnacentral:lncRNA from 1 species
AUGUUUGAGCACAAUUAUUCCUCUUUUAGGUUCAAAAACAGGACACGUAAGCCAGUGUCAAUAUUUCCUGAACUGGAACAAAGGCUUGAUUUUUUGAUUAGACAAAAUGUUGUCACUGCACAGACUCUGCGGAAAAUUGAAGAUAUUCUGGCUUUGGAACUGGGAAAAGUUCAGCUGGACUCUCCAAAGCAUGUGCCAACAUCAACAGAUGCUUCACCCUUUAAAGUGGAGAAAGACGAGUCCAGUUCUCUUGCUGCAAAAAGGAGAAAGCUAAUGCACCCUGUUGACCCAGCUGGAAAUCACUAUCCGCAGCAAAACCCAGGAGACAAGGAGUGCCCUUGGCAGCCUUUGGACUUCUGCAGUGGAAAGCCUUCAGCACCUGCUCCAGAGCCUGCGGGGAACGGGCCCUUUAGUGAUGAGGACAAGAGCACAGGGGGAGUUGUAUUCAGACACUCAGCAGGAACAAAUGUGAAAAAAGAUCAGCAAGCAAGGUCUUUUCUUCAGUGCUCGCUUUCCUAAGCCGAAGGAUGUUUCCUUUCCAUCAUGUUUGGCCUCUGGGACCACUUUCUAAACCACUCUUAGACCAUUAGUGCUGCAAGAACACCAGCAAUUCAGCCAUUUUACCGGUAGCAGGUCCUGCAUGCUUUCCAUCCCAAGGAAAUACAUUGCAAUGCUCAGCACCUUGUUGAAUCUCCCUGUGGGUCUUCUCUUCCUGAACCACUUUGCCAGCAUGGAAAGAAGAGAACGGUGACAAGCGACUCGAGGGAAGAUUGACUUGAAGCAGGAACCUAUUUGAGAAGUUUGAGUCUAUUAGCUUGUUGCACCAUUUUUUUCCGCUUUCCUAAAACAUUUCAUAAUGUCUAUUUGAAAAAUAGUAUGCAAGGCCUUCGUUUAAUAAAGGCUCUUCUUCAUGGUUAAUUUGCAUCCUUCUGGAGA